UACAGAGGGUGCGAGCGUUGUCCGGAAUCACUGGGCGUAAAGGGCGCGUAGGUGGCGCUCCAAGUCUGUGGUGAAAGCUCGAUGCUCAACAUCGAGUCGGCCACGGAGACUGGAGGGCUCGAGCACUGUAGGGGCAGAUGGAAUUCCGGGUGUAGCGGUGGAAUGCGUAGAGAUCCGGAAGAACACCGGUGGCGAAGGCGGUCUGCUGGGCAGUUGCUGACACUGAGGCGCAACAGCGUGGGGAGCAAACAGG
rnacentral:rRNA from 1 species